rnacentral:rRNA from 1 species
UGCGCAGGCGGUUUUGUAAGACAGUGGUGAAAUCCCCAGGCUCAACCUGGGAACUGCCAUUGUGACUGCAAGGCUAGAGUGCGGCAGAGGGGGAUGGAAUUCCGCGUGUAGCAGUGAAAUGCGUAGAUAUGCGGAGGAACACCGAUGGCGAAGGCAAUCCCCUGGGCCUGCACUGACGCUCAUGCACGAAAGCGUGGGGAGCAAACA